UGUGAUGGGGAGCGAAAUUUAGUAGCGAAGUAGCUGAUUUCACACUGUCAAGAAAAGUCUCUAUCGAGGUUAAAGGUACCCGUACCGCAAACCGACACAGGGGGGUGAGGAGAGUAUCCUAAGGCCAGCGAGAGAACUGUUGUUAAGGAACUCGGCAAAAUGACCCCGUAACUUAGGGAUAAGGGGUGCCACCAUCAGGUGGCCGCAGAGAAUAGGCCCAAGCGACUGUUUACCAAAAACAUAGGUUUCUGCUAAG
rnacentral:rRNA from 1 species